rnacentral:rRNA from 1 species
CUCGUAGGCGGCGCGGUAAGUCACUUGUGAAAUCUCUGAGCUUAACUCAGAACGGCCAAGUGAUACUGCAGUGCUAGAGUGCAGAAGGGGCAAUCGGAAUUCUUGGUGUAGCGGUGAAAUGCGUAGAUAUCAAGAGGAACACCUGAGGUGAAGACGGGUUGCUGGGCUGACACUGACGCUGAGGCGCGAAAGCCAGGGGAGCAAACG